ensembl:lncRNA
UUUUCUCUCCACCUAAAGGUAUAUUUUCUUGCUCAAAUUGAUUCAGUUUUUCUCCACCUAAAGGUAUAUUUUCUUGCUCAAAUUGAUUCAGUUUCUCUCCACCUAAAGGUAUAUUUUCUUGCUCGGAUUGAUUCAGUUUCUCCCCGCCUGAAGUUAUAUCCUCUUGUUCAGAUUGAUUCAGUUUCUCUCUGUCUGAGGGUAUAUGUUCUUGCACAUAUAGAUUCAGUUUCUCUCCAUCUGAGGGUAUAUGUUCUUGCGCAUAUAGAUUCAGUUUCUCUCCGCCUGAAGUUAUGUACUCUGGCACGGAUUGAUUCAGUUUCUCUCUGUCUGAGGGUAUGUGUUCUUGUGCAUUUACGUUCUGUUUCUCUCCGUUUGAAGGUAUAUCCUCUGGCUCGGAUUGAUAAAUUUUCUCUCCAUCUGAGGGUAUAUGUUCUUGCUCACAUAUAUCCAGUGUCUCUCCACCUAAAGGUAUAUUUUCUUGCUCGAAUUGAUUCAGUUUCUCUCCACCUAAAGGUAUAUUUUCUUGCUCGAAUUGAUUCAGUUUCUCUCCACCUAAAGGUAUAUUUUCUUGCUCAAAUUGAUUCAGUUUCUCUCCACCUAAAGGUAUAUUUUCUUGCUCAAAUUGAUUCAGUUUCUCUCCACCUAAAGGUAUAUUUUCUUGCUCGGAUUGAUUCAGUUUCUCCCCGCCUGAAGUUAUAUCUUCUUGCUCGGAUUGGUUCAGUUUCUCCCCGCCUGAAGUUAUAUCCUCUUGUUCAGAUUGAUUCAGUUUCUCUCUGUCUGAGGGUAUAUGUUCUUGCACAUAUAGAUUCAGUUUCUCUCCAUCUGAGGGUAUAUGUUCUUGCGCAUAUAGAUUCAGUUUCUCUCCGCCUGAAGUUAUGUACUCUGGCACGGAUUGAUUCAGUUUCUCUCUGUCUGAGGGUAUGUGUUCUUGUGCAUUUACGUUCUGUUUCUCUCCGUUUGAAGGUAUAUCCUCUGGCUCGGAUUGAUAAAUUUUCUCUCCAUCUGAGGGUAUAUGUUCUUGCUCACAUAUAUCCAGUGUCUCUCCACCUAAAGGUAUAUUUUCUUGCUCGAAUUGAUUCAGUUUCUCUCCACCUAAAGGUAUAUUUUCUUGCUCGAAUUGAUUCAGUUUCUCUCCACCUAAAGGUAUAUUUUCUUGCUCAAAUUGAUUCAGUUUCUCUCCACCUAAAGGUAUAUUUUCUUGCUCAAAUUGAUUCAGUUUCUCUCCACCUAAAGGUAUAUUUUCUUGCUCGGAUUGAUUCAGUUUCUCCCCGCCUGAAGUUAUAUCCUCUUGUUCAGAUUGAUUCAGUUUCUCUCUGUCUGAGGGUAUAUGUUCUUGCACAUAUAGAUUCAGUUUCUCUCCAUCUGAGGGUAUAUGUUCUUGCGCAUAUAGAUUCAGUUUCUCUCCGCCUGAAGUUAUGUACUCUGGCACGGAUUGAUUCAGUUUCUCUCUGUCUGAGGGUAUGUGUUCUAGUGCAUUUACGUUCUGUUUCUCUCCGUUUGAAGGUAUAUCCUCUGGCUCGGAUUGAUUCAGUUUCUCUCCUCCUGAAGGUAUCUUCUCUUGUUCAGAUUGAUUCAGUUUCUCUCCACCUAAAGUUAUAUUUUCUUGCUCAAAUUGAUUCAGUUUUUCUCCACCUAAAGGUAUAUUUUCUUGCUCAAAUUGAUUCAGUUUUUCUCCAUCUAAAGGUAUAUUUUCUUGCUCGGAUUGAUUCAUUUUUUCUCUGUCUGAGGGUAUAUGUUCUUGCUCACAUAUAUCCAGUGUCUCCCCGCCUGAAGUUAUAUCCUCUUGUUCAGAUUGAUUCAGUUCCUCUCCGUCUGUUGGUAUGUGUUCUUGCACAUAUAGAUUCAGUUUAUCUCCGCCUGAAGUUAUGUACUCUGGCUCGGAUUGAUUCAGUUUCUCUCCGCCUGAAAUGA